UUAAUUUUUGCAAUCAGUGGAAUUGAUCCUUAAACUCUAGUUUUAGAUAUAGUCUUGUGGUUUUUAUUACGCGCAUCGGCAUUAUAGGGCUUGCCUGAGCAUCAAUUGCCGUGCUAUUCGAAGGAGUAGGUUUUCCUUGCUUUUGCGAAGAACCGUGGAGUUCAAUGAAAUCAUGGUCGACCUCAAGGUGGAUUUUGAUAAAGAGUCGUGCUCCAGGUCAAUAAACGAGACGGUGAAUGGGUCGCACCAGUUUACGAUAAAGGGGUACUCGUUGGCUAAAGGGAUGGGAGCUGGGAAGUGCAUAUCGAGUGAUAUUUU
rnacentral:misc_RNA from 1 species